AAGAAAGUGGCAGAAGGGGGAAUGUGCUUGGCUUGAAACCAAACCAUGGGGGUUCGAUUCCCCCCUUUCUUG
rnacentral:tRNA from 1 species